AAGACUGCUGGGAUAGGCUCCAGCAUCCCCCCGCGACCCUGACGGAGAAGCGGCUUAGAAAAUGGAUGGAUGGAUGGAUGGAUGUAGCACUUUGGACGACCAUCAGACAAGCUCCAACUAUGAUGGUGCUCCUAAAAUGUCUUACAGUGUUGAGUGUUGAAUUUCUACUUCAAAUAGCCCAAUCCACCAGCGAUCCACACACUCCAAAACAGUCAACUAAUCUGCUGGCCAACAUCACACUGAACUGUGAAGACAUUUGCUCAUUUGGACAGUGCACAUAUGCAGUGCCAGAAGAAGGGCAUACACACCUGUGGAGCAAAGACUGUGAGCAGGAGUGGUUCACACAGGAUGGAUUUUUUUUAGUUGAUGGAAGUCCUUCUACACUAAACAGAUCCCUGCCCCACUUGGUUCUUGCAGUGACUCCAGGCAAUCUAACAGUACUCUACUGCAUGAAUGAGCUUCAGUGUAAAAUAACAUGUCAUGGAUCUCAGUAUCAAUUUCAGGUUUGUACAAAGCUGUGAACAACACUAAAGAGGGUAUCAAAACUUCCGAUCAGUCCAUCAAUACAACUAUAAUCAUCAUCAUUCUGGUUGCAGUCGGAGCUGUGGCCUUUCUGGUGGCUUGGUUUGUAAUCUGGAUGUAUCGUACAACAUUCUCCAGAAAUGAGGUCAUUUGAGGUAUGAGCUCUUCCUCAGCUGUGACACUGCCCAUCACCCAUCGCUUAAAACUGUCAUCUAAAAUCAAACUGAGGUUUUCCAGCAUUCAGUAUUCUAGCAUGGUUUUGAUUUGGUUGAGUAGGAAGGCUUUGGUUUCAGGCUAGGAUAUUCAGUGAUUGAUUUUGAAUCAUAUUUGCAGCAGUGGUGCCUGCAUGAGGUGCUGUAAAAUCAAGUGGACAGGUUGGACCCAGAAUUUGGCUAUAGCUGACACAGAACCAAAAAGGCCACCCAGUUAACUUAUUUAGGUGCUGUUUACAUUCUAAAUGGAGACCACUAAGAAUUUUUUUUUCUUGUCUGAGGACUAAUGUAAAAUUAAUUUGUCAGUUAUCUAUUUAGCAGAUAUGUACAAAUUCAGUGGCACAAAACAGACAGAGGAGUAUAUUUAUUUUGUAAUAAUCAUUCAACAAUGAAGGGAAAUCUUUUAGCCACUGUUGUUCAGAUGAGUACAUGAGAUCUAGUGAUAGAGCUAACAAUUUAACAUGAGAGGCAGUCAAUGAAAAGUUUUCUAAUGUGGAAACCUGUUGGCUUGUUAAGGCAACUCUGUGAAGAGAGAACCAUCUUUUAAGCUAAGAUAUGGUUAUCAUGGUUAGCUUAGCAGCUUUAGUUUCUCCAGGCUUCUCAGUCAUGUGGCAUGACAAGGCACUGAACUGCCAGUCUAUUAGGAACACAUACCUCAUAGGCCAAACAUGGAGCUGUAACUCUAAACUGUGGAAUUAAUGUAUCAACUUUUUUCUGCGUCACAUUUGAACAGUUCUACAUGUGAGUGGUGGACUGCUGCAUGUGUGGGCUGCACACAGAGAGAGAAAGAGAAAGUGCAGUAGAGUACUCGCCUGGCAUGUGCACCACAUUGAUGCUACUGAUGUAGCCCCAUAUGAAAUUAAUGGAGACCAUCUAACAGCAAAUGCCAUGCGAAUACUCAAGUGCACAGAGCUCGUAACAUUAGGGACCAAUCAUGCAAAUGCAGCCACCAGAAAAAAGUGAUAAUGACAACAACCAGGACUGGUAAACUGUGAAAAUGGCUAGCUAGAGAGAUGGAGAAAACCUGAAUGAAAAGCAUGAUGGAGGUGUGCAGAAAAAAGGAAGAUACUUAAAAAAAUACACAGAGAAAUUCAUGAAACUGUUUGAUUUGAUUUGGAUAUCAGAGUCAGGAACUGCAGGGUCAGUAGGGGUAAGUGACCUUGCAAGACCUUUGCUUUGUUAGCUAGCUUGUUAAGUUAGCCAGUUUAUUCAGUCAACUUCUAAUCUAAGGCUACAGAUGGAAGUCUGGCUAAUUAGCUAGCCAGCUAACUAUCAGCCACUCCUGUUCUCGAUCAUAAAUGAGCGUGUUUGAAAUGCUCACUUUUACGUAUUUCAGAAAGAUUGAACAGUGCUUAUUAUUGUUCAAGAAUAUGGGUCCACUUACUGAGACUGAGAUUUCAACUUUGCUUUCCUUAACAGAGUCAAAAGUGAAAACGUUUUUCUUUGCUUUCAAUUAAUUCUUCAAGUAUAGCAAGCAAAGGCUAGAGGUUUUGUGAGACAAGAUGUGCAAACAGAACUAUUUGAGAAAAUAGUUGUUUUUAGUGAAUGUAGUGUAAUUUCUAUUGCCUGUUAUGCUUUUAAAGUGGUGUCUCUCUAAAGUACAUUUGUGGGAAUAUAGUUGCUUUUAUUGUUUAUUGGUGAUUCUUAUUCUAUGAAACAGCAUAGCUUGUAAGAGCACACACUAAAAUGACUGCGCUGGACAGUUUGCAGAGUUUACAGAAAAGAGUGAAAAUUGGGAAUUUCUUGUUUUAAUUGUGAAAACUGACUGAACAGAAAGGAAGGUCAGUGUCUUUUUGUUAACCUACUGUGAAGAAGAAUGCUAGCCACAAACUCAAUGCCAAAACAGUGAUAUAUAUGUAAACUGGAUAAAGAGACAUGAUCUGUAUGGAGCUCAUUUGCUUCCCUCUCUCAGAUAGAGGACUCAUUGCCAAGUAUCAGGCAGAUUUCAAUACUGUACGUGUAAGUGGUGGCCCAAACUGGAAUCAAAAACAUAAGAAACAUAUGAUUUUCCUAUUCACACUGCCACACAAAAACCUAAUUUGUGUCACAUUUUGAAAAAAGGAUGUCUAGAGCGAGGUAAUUCAGCAGCAACUGCUUAACAUGAAACUCUCUGAUGACUCUAAUAUUGUGUACAGUAUGACAAUAAUGAUACUUGAUAUUAUCAAACUUGAAUGAGUCAUUACUGAAUAAAGGCUGCACUCGUUCACAUUUAAUAUCUGCAUCAUUGCACUGUUUCUUGUCUGUGUUUCAUUUGUUUACUUAAAAAAAAACAAAAAAACGGCUUAAUUUCUCCUCAGGGUCUACAUUUUUAAUUGUAAUAUUGUUCAGCAUUUGGAACUAUUUGUCAUAUUCGUACUUGCUGUUAUUUUAUUCAGUAUUAACUUAUACAAUGUAAAUAUAAGCUAUAUAAAAUACUAUAAGCUGGUCAUUGAAAGGUAUUUUUAUAAAAAAUUUUUGGAAACACUAAGAAGUUACUGCAUGAAAAACGAAAUACUUGAUUAACUAUUUUUUAUGUCUUGACAAGUUAUCUGCUUCAAGAUUUGGUUACUUUUUAAAUACAAUAUACACACUUUUGAAUACAACCUAUUCUGGAAGCUACUUUUAUUUUAACUUCAUUCUCUGAUCUGUUCAUCAUUUUGGUUACAAUAAAAUGACUUAAAUAUUCACAGCUUCCUGGACAUUUUUAAAUAUGGGACAGCCCUAUCCACGGCACCUGGGGAGCAAUUGGGGGUUAGAUGCCUUGCUCAAGGGCACUUCAGUCAUGGACUGUCAGCCAAGGGGAUGAAACCAGCAAACUUCCGGUCACAGGGCUGGUUCCCUAAGCACCAGCCCAUGACCAAUACUGUAGAUCAAGCUUGUUUUUGGUCAUGGACUAAUUUAUAUUGUAUCAGUUAAAUGAAAGAAAGAAAACUAUCAAUGUGCUUGUAUUUUAUUUUACAUGCAUGUUACAAAACUUGACAAAUGCUAAAUGGUAAAUUUUUGAUGCUAAUGUUUCACUGUUCUUUCUAUUUUUACUUGAAGUGACUAAAUAAAAGCUGUUUGUUGAA